UACCCGCAGCACAAGUGGUGGUCAUUAUUAUUGGGCCUAAAGCGUCCGUAGCUGGCCUGUUAGAUGCCUGGGUAAAUCGAUGCGCUCAACGUAUCGAACUCCGGGUAGACCGGCAGGCUUGGGACCGGGAGAGAUGUGAGCUACUCGAGGGGUAGGGGUAAAAUCCUGUAAUCCUUCGGGGAGGACCAGUGACGAAGGCGUCACAUUAGAACGGCUCCGACAGUGAGGGACGAAGCCCUGGGGCGCAAACCGG
rnacentral:rRNA from 1 species